rnacentral:rRNA from 1 species
UACGGGGGGGGCAAGCGUUGUUCGGAAUUACUGGGCGUAAAGGGCUCGUAGGCGGCCAACUAAGUCAGACGUGAAAUCCCCAGGCUUAACCUGGGAACUGCGUCUGAUACUGGAUGGCUUGAAUUCGGGAGAGGGAUGCAGAAUUCCAGGUGUAGCGGUGAAAUGCGUAGAUAUCUGGAGGAACACCGGUGGCGAAGGCGGCAUCCUGGACCGGCAUUGACGCUGAGGCGCGAAAGCCAGGGGAGCAAACGGG